GACGAACGCUGGCGGCGUGCUUAACACAUGCAAGUCGAACGGUGACCCUCGGAGCUUGCUUCGGGGUGAGCAGUGGCGAACGGGUGAGUAACACGUGAGUAACCUGCCCCUGACUCUGGAAUAAGCGCUGGAAACGGCGUCUAAUACCGGAUACGACACGCCUCCGCAUGGGGAGCGUGUGGAAAGUUUUUCGGUCUGGGAUGGCCUCGCGGCCUAUCAGCUCGUUGGUGGGGUAACGGCCCACCAAGGCGACGACGGGUAGCUGGUCUGAGAGGAUGUCCAGCCACACUGGGACUGAGACACGGCCCAGACUCCUACGGGAGGCAGCAGUUAGGAAUCUUGCGCAAUGGACGAAAGUCUGACGCAGCGACGCCGCGUGCGGGAUGAAUGCCUUCGGGUUGUAAACCGCUUUCAGCAGGGACGAAAUUGGCGGUACCUGCAGAAGAAGCCCCGGCCAACUACGUGCCAGCAGCCGCCGUAAAAC
rnacentral:rRNA from 1 species